GGAAUCUUCGGCAAUGGGGGCAACCCUGACCGAGCAACGCCGCGUGAGUGAAGAAGGUUUUCGGCUCGUAAAGCUCUGUUGUUAGAGAAGAACGUGCGUGAGAGCAACUGUUCACGCAGUGACGGUAUCUAACCAGAAAGUCACGGCUAACUACGUGCCAGCAGCCGCGGUAAUACGUAGGUGGCAAGCGUUAUCCGGAUUUAUUGGGCGUAAAGCGAGCGCAGGCGGUUUGAUAAGUCUGAUGUGAAAGCCUUCGGCUUAACCGAAGAAGUGCAUCGGAAACUGGGAAACUUGAGUGCAGAAGAGGACAGUGGAACUCCAUGUGUAGCGGUGAAAUGCGUAGAUAUAUGGAAGAACACCAGUGGCGAAGGCGGCUGUCUGGUCUGUAACUGACGCUGAGGCUCGAAAGCAUGGGUAGCGAACA
rnacentral:rRNA from 1 species